AAUAAACACGCUGUUAUCAGUGUAGAAGGAACACAGCCAGCGGAGACGCCUCCUCCAGUCACACCUGGACCACAGCGGGACCCACAGCAGCACCGCACGGCGCCCUCCAUCACCUCUGAGCUUCUGCACUUCUGAUGACUCCAUCCAGAUCUCCAGCUUGUCCUGUGGACCCAUCCAUGCAGAAGCAGACUCGGCAGGCACAAGGACCAUUUUCCACACCCCUAUGAUUGCACCUCAUCCAAUCAGCAGCACCCACUCCCUAGUCCCCAGCUCCCUCCAGAUUAUCCUUGAAAAACCCUAGCCUCUGAAUUUUGGGGGAGAUUGACUUAAGUAAUAAAAUUCCAGUCUCCCACUUAGCCAGCUCUGUGUGAACUAAACUCUUUCUCUAUUGCAAUUCCCAUCUUGGUAAGUCAGCUCCAUCUG
rnacentral:lncRNA from 1 species